rfam:Anopheles gambiae M scf_1925491324 genomic scaffold, whole genome shotgun sequence.
GUGAUGGCACGAUAAGUGAACAUUCAUCGUCAAAAACAGUUUAGUUUGCAGAUCUGUCCAGCGGCAUACGUCACAACUCUAAAGGUAGUCUUUCUUCUGUGUCAUCGGUGAUCUCUCGCUGCACGGCAAUGGGCCGUACGCACGAUUGAUGUCAUCUGUGACACGAGAUUCUACCGUCAUACGAAAUUAGUUGAAAUUGUAAUUACAUUGUAAUUAUUGUAAUUAAUU